GACGAACGCUGGCGGCGUGCUUAACACAUGCAAGUCGAACGAUGAACCGGAGCUUGCUCUGGGGAUUAGUGGCGAACGGGUGAGUAACACGUGGGCAACCUGCCCCAGACACCGGGAUAACCAUUCGAAAGGAUGGCUAAUACCGGAUACGACCACUUCGGGCAUCCGAUGGUGGUGGAAAGGAUUCUGGUCUGGGAUGGGCCCGCGGCCUAUCAGCUUGUUGGUGGGGUAAUGGCCUACCAAGGCGACGACGGGUAGCCGGCCUGAGAGGGCGACCGGCCACACUGGGACUGAGACACGGCCCAGACUCCUACGGGAGGCAGCAGUGGGGAAUAUUGCGCAAUGGGCGAAAGCCUGACGCAGCGACGCCGCGUGAGGGACGAAGGUCUUCGGAUUGUAAACCUCUUUUCAGCAGGGAUGAAGCGAAAGUGACAGUACCUGCAGAAGAAGCACCGGCUAACUACGUG
rnacentral:rRNA from 1 species